rnacentral:lncRNA from 1 species
CUCAGCAAGAGAUUUAAAAUAAAAUAAAUUUGUAAUUAAUGAAUAAUCAAGAAUAUCAAUGUUCCUUACACUCUAGUUAAACAUACGUGGCAGCUUUGAUUUUUGUAUGGAGGCGUCUUUAUUGUCACUUCAGUAGUUUUCUUUUUCUAAAACAUCCCUACCGGGCACUUUCAGAGCAUUUGACUGGCAGUGCCUGCCUGUGCAUGCCCACUGGAAAUGCUGAUCUUCUGAGUAAGAGCUGAGCUGGUGGACACUGGCUUUGAAUCACCAAGUGUUACUUGUUCAUCAACAUUUUGCUGCUGCCUUCUCUUGACCCUUCAGGUGCUCCUCCCAGUGUGACUUGCCUCAGUCUCUCUUCCUCUUCCCAAAUAGGAAGCCUCUCUUCCUCUUCCUCUCAAAUGGGAGUCUGGUCUUCCAUUUUCACUCCUCCUCCCUUUACUUUCCCACAAGCCACAUUUUUUCGUGCUCUGUCAUGCAGGGCUGGGAGUGCAUCCAGCCUCUGCACAUCCAGGGCCUGGUCACAGCCUCCUGUUGUCACCUGCAAUGUUGUGCUGGGCUACCUUGGCAGUGGGAGACAGCACACGCAGGCUGCAUUCAUCCUCAAGCCCUUGUCUUCAUGAAAAAGUGUAGCCAUUGAAAAUAGCAGGGCAAUUGAAGAAGUGUUGUACUCACACAAGUGAUGCAAUUCUUGUUAAGUGUGCUUAUGUUGCUACUGAUUUUCACACAAGAAGGGCGAUGCAGAUGGAUGUUAUUAGAAAGGUUUUUACUUCGAAUGUGCAUGGCUUGUCCACAUGGCUGAGAUUAGUUCUCAAUACUCACAUAAAGCUUUUCAUCCUCAAAAGGACUUUACAAGCUCCAGCCCUCAAAAUGCCCCCGCAAGAACACUUUGACAUUCUAUCUUAUCUCUCUCCUAUUUGCCUGGGAAAGCUAUCUGGCCCCACAAAGUACUCUGGAGAAAAAGGAAAAUUAUUGGAUGGUUUCUUCCUGGAAGAAUAGAUGGAACAGAAAUUGAUGGAGUCUGGUAUCACUAAUUUGUAAGUAACAAAAAUACCAACUUUUACAGAAUUCACUGAACUUAAAGCUGGUUCUAUUCAUUUAAAUUGGUACCUAGUACUUGUCACAUUAU